AAAUGGGAAGUCCAAUCUGGGUGCUUAGAGAUGUGUAAGAGUGAGCCAGGCGAAAGGAGGUGAACGUUCUCAGCUUCUCCUGAUUUGUUAACUUGGAAGUCAUAUUCUUUGUCUACCCCAAAGGACUACAGGGCCAAUGAGAACAGAAACUGCUUUCGUUCUGCCCCAACACACAACAGAAACAGAAGAACUGAAACCUCAGCUGAGGCUUCUGCUCUCGCAUUUCAGUAUCUCUUAUGACGUGGAAGAGCUGAGCGAUGCUUCUAAGGAGACAGAACUUUUUGCCUUGGUUUCCCCAAAAUUUCAAAGCAUCUUCAUGGAACAACAGAGAAUGCAAACGUUUCCAGACUAUAAUGCUGGGAUAGCUAAAGUGGAAAAUUUGAAUUUGGCAGGACCUCGUAGGGCCUUGAAAAAGGGAGCCAACUGGACUUCCUUUAUAAAGAUUAAGCCAAAAUGUGAUCCUUGGCAAAAGAAGCUUUUGACCAAACUAAAAGAACGGAGAAGAAUAGAUGUAUUAAUGCAACUCCAAGCAAAGUUUUUGAAGAAUGAAAACACUAAGGAAGAUGACCUUUCAGUGCAACGAGAUGAAAAUGACCCAGCACUAAUAAAUCUUAGCCAGUGUGCUAAUAAGCCUGUGAAGCAGAAGAAAGAGACAGGUUACAGUUAUGCAGUGGCCCUACAGCUGCUGGGCUUGGAUGACGGGACUGGGCCCAGUAACAGGGAUCCUGUCCUGAUGAGGGGGACCUACUUGUCCUUUCUGUAUCUGCGUCACCUGAGGAUCCGGGAGCUGCAGCGCAUCUGCUUAGGAAUUCUGAACUAUUUUAGAUCUGUUGAGCGAACACUGACGAUCAACACUUCAGGCCUUACCUUGGUUUCAGGGAGCCUGGUCCCUACCUCAGAAGACAGUUCCUGGGUAAAUAAAGCAAAAGGAGGCAUGGGCACCUCGCAAGGCCUAGGCGCUCACCACUAUGCCCACGGGACACCUGCCGAGCACAGGGUGAGGAUUGUGUUACAGUUUUUUUCCCAUGAUUAUCUUGUCUUCUAAGCCACUUCUUCUUAGCACCUGGAAUCAGUUAAAAUGAUGAAGUAACAGGUGGGAGUUUCUAGGAAAAUAACUUUUUUGAAAAAUUGCAGUGAAAAGGGAAAUGGCUUUUUAACCACAAUAAAUACAGUGUCCACUUGAGAGCAGGACAUAGGCAGAGAACAUGAAGGCCUGGAAACCACAAUAGGAAGGCAGGCAGGCAUUUCAGCUGCUGAUUUAUCCACUUUAUAGUGAACAGACCAAGAGGAGCCCUUUCAGAGAACCACAUGUCCUUACAGAGAAAUUCUUAUAAGACCCUCCUUGACAUUGCAAG
ensembl:lncRNA